AGCUUUUCUUUGUUCUUUGAAUAAGCUGCUGAAUUUUUCUACUGUGCUAUUUUAAUUACUAAGCUUGCUGAUUUUCCAUGCAAAUUUGAGCACCCAGAAACAUAAUACAAAAUUUGGGGCAAGUAGAGAUUUUACUAAGAUUGGCAGUGGAAUUGCACCAGCUUUAUCAAUCACCUGUAACUCCACUCGGGAAAGUUUUUCAGUUUUGUGGUUGUAUGCAUUGUAUAGUCUGUCAGUACUGCUUGUAGACAUUUAUCCGACUAACAUCCUUAUUAUUGAUGAAUUUUAUUACCCUGUAACGGAACAUGCUUGGCAAUGCAGAUGUGCAAUAUUUGCAGAUAUGCACAAAUGUGCAAUAUUUGCAGAUAUGCACAACAGUCUAAAGGAUUUUUUUGUGUAGUAAGCGCAAUGUGUAAUGCCAUUGAAUCAUAAUUGAUUAAUUUGCAACCGUACAUUGCAUUGAGUAUCCAAGAGGUCCUUGGUUAAACCCCCACUAAGUGAAAUUUCGAAAAAAAACAAUUUUUGGCUGAAAACCAAGACCUACAGUCACCGUUUUCCUCGUUUAGUGCGAGGUUUCUUGUUUAAAGAAUUUUGAUUCCUUUUUUCCAUCAUGCUUUCAAAUUUCAAGUGUAAGAAUGAGAUUAUAGCUGAACUGUGAACGUUCAACAUCGGGCACAGGAGAUUGCAGGUUAUGAAGGCUACGAUUAAUUGUUUUUUGGUUGAUUCCAAACCAGACUUCAAUUUGGCAUAUGCCACCACCCUUGUGGAAAACCCAUAAGAUAGUUCCCUCAUAUUUAUCACAUGUUCAGAUUUUGUUUGCAUGGUUUUAAUCUUAUGACCAAAGCUCAAGAGCAUACCAAACCUUCUAUGGAUGGUGUAAGAUGUAUGCCUAGAAAUGUUAUAAUUAACCAGGUGGGUGAGAUUGAUCUCUUCUAGUAGCACUUGGUUCCUUUAGGAUUCCUCUUGGGAGGGUCAAGUCUGGGGGAUUGAAGCUAUCUGUGAGCUUCACCGAGGUUAUGUUUCUUGUUUAUUUCUCUCCUCUCAUCAUAUUCAAGCAGCUUUGCACAAUAUGGUUAUUGGAAUAUUUGUGGGCAAACAUGCUAUCUCCAAGCCUAGGAUCUUGAUUUUCAUCCUGAUGGUCUUACUGAAUUUAAAUAUCUCAUGUGGUUAUAAUUUUUUAAUAUUAAUUUGGCGUUCCAUCCUUGUUUGCAUGAUAUUGCUGAGCAGCUAAGGUAUGUUCUUUGGUGUAAACCCAACUCUGAUAAAUUUGCAAGUCUUUGUGUGUGUCCGCAUGCUUGUGUUGAGAUUGAUCUCAAUCUACCUUUGCCUAAUUCUAUUGAGCUCAUUGGUUCAAGGUUUGAGCUCUAUCAGUUCAUCAAGUAUUUUAAGAAACCCAACACAUGCUUUUAUUGUUGGCCAGAAGGUCAACUUAUUCACGGUCCCCUUGUUCAGGAACCUUGGGCUACUACAUCUAUGGCUCCAGUGUUUAAAUCGUUAUCAACUCCUGUGAUGUCUUCUUUGGCUUCCUUGGUUCCCAUUGUUGUUGCUCCUAAACCUUUACUCCUACUAUACAUUCCCAUACUCUCUUAUCUAUAUCGGGUCUGCCUUCCCCUUCCUUUUCAGAUUAUCUUGUUCCUUCCGUCCCUACUGGUCGUCAUUAAUCUAUCAUGGAAGAGAGUAGGUGCCCUCCCUAGUCUUGUUGUGACCAGUUGUUACCUCAUCCAUCCUCUUUUCUUGCUCCUCCCUCUGUGGUUUUCCUUCAAGACGUUAAGCAUUCUGGUCUUACCGUCUGUCUUGAUGUGGUACUAUAGUCUCUUUGGCCUAGUGCUCUCCUUGUACCUACUUCAGACUUUAAGGAUGGCGGAGGUUUGGUUAUGGCAUCAUUUCUUGUCUUGCUAAGUAUUUUGUUUUGUAUGUGAUUCCAGUCAAUGUUGUGUGUGGCUUUCCCUUCAUGUCCAUGGUGAUUUAAUUGGUUUUUGUUUGGUCUAUGCACCCAAAUUUGCUGCUCAUCGGGUUGCUUUAUGAAAUUGGAUGUGGAUUUUUCUUCCUCCAACUAAUGGGUUCUCACUUCUCAGUGAUAAUCUUAAUAUGAUUUGGCACCCUUCUGAUUGCAAUUGGCCUUCUUUUUAACUAUCUUAGUCUGAAUUUGAUUCUUACUUGCAAUUCUGUGUGUUUUCUAUCUCAUCAAAGUCCGUCUACCUAACAAGCUCGACAUUGUUUUACUUGGCAAAACUGUCACCAAGGCGAUGCUCAUAAGUUUAGUCGUCUUGAUCGAUUUUAUUUCUCACCCACCCUUAAAAUCUGUCCUCAUCUUACCAGCUAACCUAUUCUGCUUGAUUUGUUGAUCACACUCUCUGAUCACCUGUCUUUUUCGUACCUUCCAUUUUUCUCCCUCUUUUCCUAUGUCAUCCUCUUUGCCUUUUAAAUUUAAUUCGUCCCAUUUGUGUCAUUCUCAUUGUAUUGCGGUUUUGGUAGCUAUUGGAAAUUUGGAGACCAAUCCUUCCUCUCUUGGCUUGAUUGCUUGGUGGGUUUGUCUUGGGCUCUUUGUGUUCCUUUUUUGAGGAAUUUAGGUCACCAUUGUGCUUGGCAACAUUUGCAUAUUCGGCAUUCUCUACAGGGCCAACUUUCUUCCUGACACGUCCAUUUGUUGACCAUUGAGAAUGUGGCAUUGCAGCCAGAUCAUAUUGAACAUGAGUUGUGGUAGUUUGAGGCCUAUUCUGAGCAUGGUGCACAAGUUCAUUCCCAUAUUCGCUGGAUUAAUGACAGAGACUGUUGCUCUAAGUUCUUCUUUCAGUAUUUAUGUUACAAGCAUAAGCAUGAGAUGGUCAUUUUUGUGUUUAGUGCAGCUCAUGAGUUGGCAUCUUCUCAUGCUUAGAUUUGGAGGUGUUCUACUCUUAUUAUAGGUAGCAUUUUGCUAAUGAUUCGGCCACUGACCCUCUUGUGCCUAAACUUGAAAAUGUAGUUGGUUUGUGUGUGCUCUGAAAAGUGUCUCCUGAUGUUAAAGUUUGUUCUUGGAUCCUCACCAAAAAAAUUUGCUAAUGAGAGCCCAGCUGUUGAUGGUCUUCCAACUGAGUUUUUUACAAGCUCUUUGACCUUAUGUUCACUGCAAUUAUUCUCUUUUUAUCUUGAGGCUUUGGAGUUGGGCUGUCUUGGUCUGUCUUGCUGUCAAGGACUGAUAAAACUUAUCUCUGAAGACAGAAAAGAGGAUUCUGUGACUGGUUGGCAGUCCAUUGCUUUUCUCAAUACAACUUAUAAACUUAUAGCGAAGUCCAUUGUUUUAUGAAUCUGUCAUAUCUCUCAGGAGAUUGUUCAUCCUGAGCAAAAAAGGUUCCUUACUGGUGGUUUUAUUCUUAAUGAUUUGGUGCUUGCAUUUGAAUUAGCGGAAUGGGCUCAACAAACAACUCAGGAUGCUCUUUUGGUGAAGCUUGAUUUUGAUGUAAUUAGUACACACUCCAAGACAUGUAUAUUAUCUCUUCUUGGUGGCAUCCUUCUUGGGAUAGCUAUAGGAACUUACUCAGCUAAUUCACAGCUAUUUGUGGGCCAAAUGGGGGAUCAUAGUUAUUUUGUUUCAGACUAUUUCUGGCAGCUCAUCGUUCAGUUUAUCUGGUGUCUUCACUGUCUUGCAAUGUCGUCGCAUGCUACUUAUCUCUUUGAGUUGCAGGCUUUGGAGUCCAAACAGGUGAUUGAGGACUUUUAAGUGGUGAUUCUGCAGACAAUUAUGUGAGGAAAUUUUUGUUCUUAGCUACUUCAUGUUAGUAUCAUGGCUGAGUUUCAAGCAGCAAUUGUAUAAUUGCUACUUCUGUCUAUUUAUGUGAGUUUGUAUGUGCAGCUUUUCGUUAACUUAGUGCUUGUAUCUCUUAUGACAGUCCCCUUUGUCUUGAGCGUAUUUGUAGGCUGUUGUAUCACAGCUGCUGCUGCUAUUGCUGUUAUAUGUUAUCAUCUGCAUCAUGCAGCCUCUAUUUGCACUGGGUUCUACAAUCUAAUGUGUUCAGCUGUUAUCCCCAAAAGAAAAGAAAGAACAAAAAUAUUCUCUUAAAACUUGACUUCGGCAAUUUUAUGACAAAGUAAACGAUACUAAAAAGAGGCCAAUUUGGUAAACAUCCAUUUUAUCAACUUUAAAAUAACUGC